GACGAACGCUGGCGGCGUGCUUAACACAUGCAAGUCGAACGGAAAGGCCCUGCUUUUGUGGGGUGCUCGAGUGGCGAACGGGUGAGUAACACGUGAGUAACCUGCCCUUGACUUUGGGAUAACUUCAGGAAACUGGGGCUAAUACCGGAUAGGAGCUCCUGCUGCAUGGGGGGGGUUGGAAAGUUUCGGCGGUUGGGGAUGGACUCGCGGCUUAUCAGCUUGUUGGGGGGGUAGUGGCUUACCAAGGCUUUGACGGGUAGCCGGCCUGAGAGGGUGACCGGCCCCAGUGGGACUGCGCGACGGGCCAGACUCCUACGGGAGGCAGCAGUGGAGAAUAUGGCACAAUGGGCGCAAGCCUGAUGCAGCGCCGCCGCGUGAGGGAUGGAGGCCUGCGCGUUGUGAACCUCUUUCGCCAGUGAAGCAGUCCUGCCUCGUUUGUGGGUGGGUUGACGGUAGCUGGAUAAGAAGCGCCGGCUAACUACGUG
rnacentral:rRNA from 1 species